rnacentral:rRNA from 1 species
CCUACGGGUGACAGCAGUGGGGGAUAUUGCACAAUGGGGGAAACCCUGAUGCAGCGACGCCGCGUGGGUGAAGAAGCGCCUCGGCGCGUAAAGCCCUGUCAGCAGGGAAGAAAAUGACGGUACCUGCAGAAGAAGCCCCGGCUAACUACGUGCCAGCAGCCGCGGUAAUACGUAGGGGGGAAGCGUUAUCCGGAUUUACGGGGAGUAAAGGGGGCGCAGCAGGCGAAGCAAGCCAGGAGUGAAAGCCCGGGGCCCAACCCCGGGACUGAUCUUGGAACUGCGUGGCUAGAGUGCAGGAGGGGCAGGCGGAAUUCCUGGUGUAGCGGUGAAAUGCGUAGAUAUUAGGAGGAACACCAGUGGCGAAGGCGGCUUACUGGACUGUAACUGACGUUGAGGCUCGAAAGCGUGGGGAGCAAACAGGAUUAGAUACCCGAGUAGUC